rnacentral:rRNA from 1 species
GGAAGGUCCUCGGCGGGUGAACAGCGGAGGGAUCAUUACCGAGUUUACAACUCCCAAACCCCUGUGAACAUACCACUUGUUGCCUCGGCGGAUCAGCCCGCUCCCGGUAAAACGGGACGGCCCGCCAGAGGACCCCUAAACUCUGUUUCUAUAUGUAACUUCUGAGUAAAACCAUAAAUAAAUCAAAACUUUCAACAACGGAUCUCUUGGUUCUGGCAUCGAUGAAGAACGCAGCAAAAUGCGAUAAGUAAUGUGAAUUGCAGAAUUCAGUGAAUCAUCGAAUCUUUGAACGCACAUUGCGCCCGCCAGUAUUCUGGCGGGCAUGCCUGUUCGAGCGUCAUUUCAACCCUCAAGCACAGCUUGGUGUUGGGACUCGCGUUAAUUCGCGUUCCUCAAAUUGAUUGGCGGUCACGUCGAGCUUCCAUAGCGUAGUAGUAAAACCCUCGUUACUGGUAAUCGUCGCGGCCACGCCGUUAAACCCCAACUUCUGAAUGUUGACCUCGGAUCAGGUAGGAAUACCCGCUGAACUUAAGCAUAUCAUAGGCCGGGAAAGAA